UACGUAGGCAGCGAGCGUUGUUCGGAAUUACUGGGCGUAAAGCGCGCGUAGGUGGUUUGUUAAGUUGGAUGUGAAAUCCCCGGGCUCAACCUGGGAACUGCAUUCAAAACUGACAAGCUAGAGUAUGGUAGAGGGUGGUGGAAUUUCCUGUGUAGCGGUGAAAUGCGUAGAUAUAGGAAGGAACACCAGUGGCGAAGGCGACCACCUGGACUGAUACUGACACUGAGGUGCGAAAGCGUGGGGAGCAAACAGG
rnacentral:rRNA from 1 species